GAGCCGAGACCCAGCCCACAGUUGCCAGCGUACUCUCUGGAGUGACGGGUACACUGUGGGGACCGCCGCUGCUAAAGCGAGGAGGAAUGGGCAACGGUAGGUCAGUAUGCCCCGAAUAUCCCGGGCUACACGCGAGCUACAAUGGUUGGUACAAUGGGGUAUCUACCCCGAAAGGGGACGGGAAUCUCCUAAAACCAAUCUUAGUUCGGAUUGAGGGCUGCAACUCGCCCUCAUGAAGCUGGAAUCCGUAGUAAUCGCGGAUCAGCACGCCGCGGUGAAUACGUUCCCGGGCCUU
rnacentral:rRNA from 1 species